AGAGUUUGAUCCUGGCUCAGGAUGAACGCUAGCGGCAGGCUUAACACAUGCAAGUCGAGGGGUAACAGGGGCUUCGGCUCGCUGACGACCGGCGCACGGGUGAGUAACGCGUAUGCAACCUACCUAUAGCAGGGGGAUAGCCCGAAGAAAUUCGGAUUAAUACCCCGGACAUCUCUUUAUCGCAUGAUAAUAAGAUUAAAGUUCCGACGGCUAUAGAUGGGCAUGCGUGCCAUUAGGCAGUUGGUGAGGUAACGGCUCACCAAACCAACGAUGGCUACGGGGUCUAAAAGGAUGAUCCCGCACACUGGUACUGAGACACGGACCAGACUCCUACGGGAGGCAGCAGUGAGGAAUAUUGGUCAAUGGGGGCAACCCUGAACCAGCCAUGCCGCGUGCAGGAAGACUGCCCUAUGGGUUGUAAACUGCUUUUAUAUAUCAGGAAACUGCCUGACUUGUCAGGUACUGACCGAUUUAUGAAUAAGCAUCGGCUAACUCCGUGCCAGCAGCCGCGGUAAUACGGAGGAUGCAGGCGUUAUCCGGAUUUAUUAGGUUUAAAGGGUGCGUAGGCGGGAUUUUAAGUCAGUGGUGAAAGCCUGUAGCUUAACUAUAGAAUAGCCAUUGAUACUAUUAUCCUUGAGUGCAGUAGAGGUGGGCGGAAUGUGUAAUGUAGCGGUGAAAUGCAUAGAUAUUACACAGAACACCGAUUGCGAAGGCAGCUCACUAUACUGUAACUGACGCUGAUGCACGAAAGCGUGGGUAGCGAACAGGAUUAGAUACCCUGGUAGUCCACGCUGUAAACGAUGAUCACUCGCUGUUGGCAAUAUAUCGUCAGUGGCUGAGCGAAAGCAUUAGGUGAUCCACCUGGGGAGUACGUUCGCAAGAAUGAAACUCAAAGGAAUUGACGGGGGCCCGCACAAGCGGAGGAACAUGUGGUUUAAUUCGAUGAUACGCGAGGAACCUUACCUGGGCUUAAAUGGAGAAUGACUAUCCUUGAAAGAGGAUUUCCCUUAGGGCAUUUUUCAAGGUGCUGCAUGGCUGUCGUCAGCUCGUGCCGUGAGGUGUCGGGUUAAGUCCCAUAACGAGCGCAACCCCUAUUCUUAGUUGCCAGCGGGUAAUGCCGGGGACUCUAAGGAGACUGCCACCGUAAGGUGUGAGGAAGGUGGGGAUGACGUCAAGUCAGCACGGCCCUUACGUCCAGGGCUACACACGUGUUACAAUGGUCGGUACAAAGGGCAGCUACACGGCAACGUGAUGCUAAUCUCGAAAACCGGUCUCAGUUCGGAUUGAAGUCUGCAACUCGACUUCAUGAAGUUGGAUUCGCUAGUAAUCGCGCAUCAGCAAUGGCGCGGUGAAUACGUUCCCGGGCCUUGUACACACCGCCCGUCAAGCCAUGGAAGCCGGGGGUACCUGAAGUCCGUAACCGCAAGGAUCGGCCUAGGGUAAAACUGGUAACU
rnacentral:rRNA from 1 species